CAGGAUUCGGCAAUUUUUCAUACCGUUCACACUCGUGGCGAGAAGCGUCUCGGCAGUCGUCGAUUGUUCGCCCUUGUGAAGUGUUGUCUCUUUGUCAAAGUUUCGAAUCAUGGACUGUUUUGAAAUAUCAAAUUAGUUCUAUGGGGAUGGAAAUUUUUGACAUUUAUGAUCAAUUUUGCGUUUUCUCACUGCUCCGAUCGUGUUCUUCCUGUAUCCUGUUUCGAACCCAACAGAGCUGUAUCAGAGGUUAGAGGUUAGGACAGGUCCAGGUCCUUGUUAAAGUGGCUGUAGUUGAGCGAAGGGAACGACCCCAAUGACCAGUGAACAAUCUUCCCGGAGUCCAAUCUUCACAUCUUUGACCUUCAAGUGUGUUUGCAUUGGGGGCGCCAGGAGCUGCCGCGCGCCGCUGCUCGAGGCGAUGAAGGCCGCCGCGAUCCUGGAUGGAGGCUGCGGACCAAAUUGAAGCGACGAGUGGAUGUGGAGGACUGGCGGCGCCUGCGGCCUGCCCGUGCCAAGUGAGGUGAGCUGUGAUUUUUGAAAGGGAAGAGGAGGACAACGACUGGCUUGCUGCUGCUGUCUCGUCAUCCCAAGGCGACGCCGAGCUCUGACGCCCUCGAUCCGUUUGACGGCCAUCACGGCCGCGAGGCAGGUGUCGUCGAGCGCAGUGACAACGCCCCGAUUAGGAGAGAGAAUGCUCGAGUGUACUGUGUGCAAAAUGAAAUUUUCGCAAAUGGGUCACCUAAAUACUCAUC